UACGGGGGGGAGCAAGCGUUGUUCGGAUUUACUGGGCGUAAAGGGCGCGUAGGCGGUCAGCACAAGUCAGUUGUGAAAUCUCCGGGCUUAACUCGGAAAGGUCAACUGAUACUGUGCGACUAGAGUGCGAGAAGGGGCAACUGGAAUUCGUCGGUGUAGCGGUGAAAUGCGUAGAUAUCGAGAGGAACACCUGCGGCGAAGGCGGGUUGCUGGGCUGACACUGACGCUGAUGCGCGAAAGCCAGGGGAGCGAACGGG
rnacentral:rRNA from 1 species